AUAUAUAUAUAUAUAUAUAAUAUAUAUUAUAUAUCAGUUGUAUAGAUGAAAAGAGAUUAGAGAGAGUGGCGGAGAGUUUAUUGAUUUGAGAACUGGCAGUAAAUGUAAAAUUAGAAGCAUUUAAUGUAUAUUUCUUUUUUGACGUUCAUAAGUGUACAUUGUGAAUAAAUGAAUCUAUUGAAUAAAUGAUUUUGACUUUUGACUUUUACUGAUUCUUGUUGAAAUUUUAUACAAAAACGAUAUCAAUAUCGCAAUUAUUACAGAGUAAUGCCGCUGAAAUACACUAUCAUGUGGACUGUGGAGGAAGGAAGUUGUGUUCUUCCUCACCCUUAAAGGGUCCUUAAAGCAUCAGCCAGCAUCGGAAUACUGGCUCUUGCAUAUCGGUAUUUUGGAAGGAAUGGCUAAAGUAGCUUUUUAGAAGCUUGGCGUGCUUAGCAUAGCGAUACUGUACUUCACUCCGGACCACCGCUUGCUGUAUGAAGCGCAAAUUGCAAAUAACGGGCAGGAAAUUUACCUAGUGUUAAGUGAUACCACCCAUGGGCACUCGCAUAGCCAGAAAGCUCAUAAGUUCGUUGCCGGACUUUUAACCUUUUUUCCUUCGCCUUAUAAUAAUUGUCUAGAUGUCCUUAGAUCUACUAGAUAUAAUGUAUAUAGCUUAACUACCUAUCAAACACCUAAUAAUAAAGACAAUAAUUUCACAGACUAUAUAAUCGAACGGCAGUCGUAGGAACGUGUGUCAAAUGAUUACUUUAAUAUCACAUUAAUUUUCUUUAAAAUAUUAUCUUGUGUCGUUAAUGUUUAAUUUAUGUUUUCUUUUUUUAUAACUUAAUAGUACAUUAAUAUGUACUUAAUUGACUUAUCCUGUUUCGUGUAUUUGUGUAACAAUGUAAUGUGUGUUGGCUUUGUAUAUCGUUUAAGUAUUUUCUUUUAUAAUAUGGAUGUGUGUGUACCUAUAAAUAAAUAUUGAUUGUGUAAAUA